rnacentral:rRNA from 1 species
UGUAUAGGAAUCUACCUAGUAGUACGGAAUAAUUGUUGGAAACGGCAACUAAUACCGUAUACGCCCUACGGGGGAAAGAUUUAUUGCUAUUAGAUGAGCCUAUAUUAGAUUAGCUAGUUGGUGGGGUAAUGGCUUACCAAGGCAAUGAUCUAUAGCUGGUCUGAGAGGA